rnacentral:rRNA from 1 species
UACGGGGGGGCAAGCGUUGUUCGGAAUUACUGGGCGUAAAGGCUCGUAGGCGGCCAACUAAGUCAGACGUGAAAUCCCUCGGCUUAACCGGGGAACUGCGUCUGAUACUGGAUGGCUUGAGUUUGGGAGAGGGAUGCGGAAUUCCAGGUGUAGCGGUGAAAUGCGUAGAUAUCGGGAGGAACACCAGUGGCGAAGGCAGCUCGCUGGACGGUACUGACGCUGAGACGCGAAAGCGUGGGAGCAAACAGG